UAACGGCGAGUGAAGCGGCAACAGCUCAAAUUUGAAAUCUGGCUUCGGCCCGAGUUGUAAUUUGUAGAGGAUGCUUUGGGCGCGGCUCUAACUGAGUUCCCUGGAACGGGACGCCACAGAGGGUGAGAGCCCCGUAUAGUUAGAUGCCUAGCCUAUGUAAAGCUCCUUCGACGAGUCGAGUAGUUUGGGAAUGCUGCUCUAAAUGGGAGGUAAAUUUCUUCUAAAGCUAAAUAUUGGCCAGAGACCGAUAGCGCACAAGUAGAGUGAUCGAAAGAUGAAAAGCACUUUGAAAAGAGGGUUAAAUAGCACGUGAAAUUGUUGAAAGGGAAGCGCUUGUGACCAGACUUGCGCCGGGCAGAUCAUCCGGUGUUCUCACCGGUGCACUCUGCCCGGCUCAGGCCAGCAUCGGUUCUCGUGGGGGGAUAAAGGUCCCGGGAACGUAGCUCCUCCGGGAGUGUUAUAGCCCGGGGCGUAAUGCCCUCGUGGGGACCGAGGUUCGCGCAUCUGCAAGGAUGCUGGCGUAAUGGUCAUCAGCGACCCGUCUUGAAACACGGACCAAGGAGUCAAGGUUUUGCGCGAGUGUUUGGGUGUAAAACCCGCACGCGUAAUGAAAGUGAACGUAGGUGAGAGCUUCGGCGCAUCAUCGACCGAUCCUGAUGUAUUCGGAUGGAUUUGAGUAAGAGCGUUAAGCCUUGGACCCGAAAGAUGGUGAACUAUGCUUGGAUAGGGUGAAGCCAGAGGAAACUCUGGUGGAGGCUCGCAGCGGUUCUGACGUGCAAAUCGAUCGUCAAAUCUGAGCAU
rnacentral:rRNA from 1 species